rnacentral:rRNA from 1 species
CAGCCGCCGCGGUAAUACGUAGGUCCCGAGCGUUGUCCGGAUUUAUUGGGCGUAAAGCGAGCGCAGGCGGUUAGAUAAGUCUGAAGUUAAAGGCUGUGGCUUAACCAUAGUACGCUUUGGAAACUGUUUAACUUGAGUGCAAGAGGGGAGAGUGGAAUUCCAUGUGUAGCGGUGAAAUGCGUAGAUAUAUGGAGGAACACCGGUGGCGAAAGCGGAUCUCUGGCUUGUAACUGACGCUGAGGCUCGAAAGCGUGGGGAGCAAACAGGAUUAGAUACCCGCGUAGUCCCUGUCUCUUAUACA